AAGUCGUAACAAGGUUUCCGUAGGUGAACCUGCGGAAGGAUCAUUAACCUUUCAAAUCAGGGUGCGGCGCGGCCCCCGAGGAGCGGAAACAAUCCUUGGGAGGUAUGCGGGGGCUUCGAGCCCCCCAUUUACGCACGCACGACUGCCAUCCUUACUUUACGAGCACCUUCUGUUCUCCCUCGGCGGGGCAACCUGCCGUUGGAACCGAAUAAACUCUUUUUGCAUCUAGCAUUACCUGUUCCGAAACAAACAGUCGUUACAACUUUCAACAAUGGAUCUCUUGGCUCUG
rnacentral:misc_RNA from 1 species